rnacentral:tRNA from 1 species
GGGGAUGUAGCUCAGUGGUAGAGCUCUUGUCUAGUGUUUACAAGGACCUGGAUUCAAUCUCCAGGACCACCA